rnacentral:rRNA from 1 species
UAGGCGGACGGGUAGAGUAACACGUAGGGUAACCUACCCAUCAGAGGGGGAUAACACUUGGAAACAGGUGCUAAUACCGCAUAACAGUUUAUGCCGCAUGGCAUAAGAGUGAAAGGCGCUUUCGGGUGUCGCUGAUGGAUGGACCCGCGGUGCAUUAGCUAGUUGGUGAGGUAACGGCUCACCAAGGCCACGAUGCAUAGCCGACCUGAGAGGGUGAUCGGCCACACUGGGACUGAGACACGGCCCAGACUCCUACGGGAGGCAGCAGUAGGGAAUCUUCGGCAAUGGACGAAAUGUCUGACCGAGCAACGCCGCGUGAGUGAAGAAGGUUUUCGGAUCGUAAAACUCUGUUGUUAGAGAAGAACAAGGACGUUAGUAACUGAACGUCCCCUGACGGUAUCUAACCAGAAAGCCACGGCUAACUACGUGCCAGCAGCCGCGGUAAUACGUAGGUGGCAAGCGUUGUCCGGAUUUAUUGGGCGUAAAGCGAGCGCAGGCGGUUUCUUAAGUCUGAUGUGAAAGCCCCCGGCUCAACCGGGGAGGGUCAUUGGAAACUGGGAGACUUGAGUGCAGAAGAGGAGAGUGGAAUUCCAUGUGUAGCGGUGAAAUGCGUAGAUAUAUGGAGGUACACCAGUGGCGAAGGCGGCUCUCUGGUCUGUAACUGACGCUGAGGCU